rnacentral:lncRNA from 1 species
UGUCCAGUUAUGCCCUUCAUUAUAGGGACCAAGACAAAGCACAAGAGAUCACUGAUGUGUGGGGUGCAGCACAGAGAGCUGUGGAUGUUUCCCAAGAAGCUGCACUAUCUAAGACACAGGAAGAAGACUGCGGGAUGGAGAGUGAGUGUGGCCAGACAGUUGGAGGGAAUGAAAGAAGUAAAAGGCACGAGUCAUACAAAAGGAAGUGUCAUAGGCCUCCAAGAGGUCAGCUGGACAAGCCCUGAAUGGGCAGCCCCUGGAUUCAGCAAUCAGGACGUGGUUAAUGAGCUCAGCAAGUACAGUUUUAGAGAAGUGGCAGCAGAUUACAGCAACUCAGAGAGCAAAUAUGGUUGUACAACAAUGAGAAUUUACUUAAUUUCUCUGAACUGUACACUUAAAAAGUAUAAUUUUAUGUUACAUGUAUUUUACUAAAAAAAAAAAUCAAAAAAGGGAGGGCGGGAGCGUAAAUGGGAGAUAAGGAAAAAGAGGAUGGAGACGGAAGAGAUAUGAGGUCAUUAAUUUGUUUUGUUUUAAGAUGGGAGUUAUGAGCAUGUCCACAGGCCCAACAGAGGAAGCUGCUAAAAAUACAUAACAGGAGAUCUGAUGACCCAAAAGAUGGACAAAUGGGGAAAACAAAGUCAAGGGCAAACUUGACUCGGAAAAAGGACUUGGUUUGUCCUAUAAAACCAGAGUGGGAGAGGGGGAUGUUGAGGGGAGAUGUGGCUCUGAGGAGGCGAGGGAGGCAAGAAGGAAGUCUGGGCUCCUAAGGAGGCCACAGUGAGCUGGCCUGUGUGUGGUGUGGUGGACAAGCUCAAGACUGCCGCCGUGGCGCUGGGGAAGGUGUUCACCUAGAGAUACGGGUUAUUAUCAAGUAAUGAAAGGAAAUGAGAAAGUAGUUUAACUAGCAAGUGUUCUGUCCACUCUUGGUCACUUGGUUGUGAAUUGGUUGUCCUGACUCCAACUGCCAGAGUCUUCUCAGGAGGAAACAUCAACAAAUACCCCUUGGCCCUCCAGGCCAGGGCCUCCAGGAAUAUCCAGGUCAACCUAGCUGGGGAGAAGACAGCAGAAUUACAACUGAACUCCCAGGCUCAGCUUUGAACAACCAGACACAGGCCUGAGGAUGAUGCCAGGUUGGCCACACCUCCAGCAGAGCCGAUGGAACCAUUACUUGGCUACCUAUUUAAUCAGCCAGGACAAUGAGCACAUGCCACACAGUGCCAGACAAGUGUUGGGAUUCUCCCUUUGAUUCCUACUUUUAUCAUCAUGUUGUUGUGAUGGCUAUUUUUUACUGUAACCAUUAUUGUUGGUUGUAGAUGAUUGUUGUAGCUGAAUUUGACCCAGUGGGAUUUGGAGUCCAGUGUGGAACACCGAUGCAGCACGAAAGCAUUUUUUAUCUUUCCUGCCUCAUAUAUUAAGUUUCAGUUUCAUAGGAUUAAAACCAGCUGAGGUCUGAGGGCCGUCUCAGGCCCACUUGACUACCUUCAGGCGUCCUGCUGUGGUUUGCCACCCACAACGGCGAGGACCCUUCUGGGAUGCAGACAGGAGGAGCUUGGAGCGGCUGGCAGGUGGGUGGUCUGGAGAAGCCUCUAAUUAAAGUUCUUCAGACCUGCAACCGUGGGAUCCUGACCUCUGCUUCUAGCGUCUGAACACAGCUCAAACCCCAGACCCUGGACAGGAUUCCAAGGGACAGAAAACCUAAGCAGCAAGAGCAAGAAGCUCAAGGGCUGCAAUGAGGGAGGGCAUAGGGGCUAGCACUGGCUCAAGGUUACCCUGUGCCUCAGACUGCAGACAUCUGUGCUAGCCAAGAUUGAGCAAAGGGUGUGGCAGGGGAAUCCAAGGAGCCAUCAGCAUGGUCUGGGUUUUCCUUCAGGAAUAAGCCCCUGGGAAAAGGAACAUAAAUGACCCAUUCCAGGGUUUCUCCAGCAUUUCUGGGGCUCGCUGGCAGAGCUGAUGUGCCUUGUGGCUGAAGCUCCAGAGUGGAGCAGACAGCCUGAACACUUGCAUCCACUUCUCUAUUCCCCACUGACUCUCAGAGGCCCAUCAGGGCCUCCCACGCUGCAAAUCCCUCUUCAAGGAAAAAUUCCCUGUGAGAAACAGUCAUUCAUUGAAUGAAACAUAUUUACCGAAUUCACAGAUGCACCCACUUAAAGCACAAGAUCCCAAAAGCGAUUUGGCCUCGAGUACCCCUUGGAGAUAGUUUCCACACUGGGAAUGUUUCAGAUCUCCUCUGAUGGUGACAGCCAAGAGUGUGGUGGUGGAGUGGUGAGUUGGGAGCUCAGAGAAGGAUACAGUCUUGCCUGCAAAUUUCAAAGACCUGGCAGACUUCUCACAGGCAAAGUACCUUUGAGCUCAUAGUAGAUUUUAGAGGACAGCUUGAGACACUUUCAACUUCAACUGUUCAGAGGUAUGGCGAGUGACCCUGGAGCUGGGCUUCUAAUCCAGGAUGCCCUGGUUCCAAAACCCAUGUUCUUCCAGCUUUUAUCUCACUCUGCAGACCUCUCUUACAUGCUUCUAUAGGAUGGCCCUCAGGAUAACUAACAUUCCCUCAUUAUCUUAGGAGACGUGUAUGAGCUGGAAUAAGAAAAUAUGCAGAACUGAACAGGGCAGAAGUCAAGCUCCUUUGGCACACAAACAGAUGUUUGCCCUCCAGGCUCAGUGCUCUAGGGUUAGGCUCUAGGAAGAAUCCAGGGGCGAGAGGACACCAUUUUCAAAGAAGCUAUUGGCCUCCUGGGUACAUUUGCUGGUGUUGUGGGAAGAGGACAAAGCUUGGGGAGUUGAAGAAAAAACUAGCUCCAUCUGAAGUAGCUGAAUGUCACUGUGACAUCGUAGUAAGGAAUAGAAAUUGAGCUCUUAUAAGAAAAACAGAUUUAGGAAUAAGAAGAAUAGCUUUUAUAUGGAAGGCCUGGAAGUGUAAGGUCAGAAAGAAGAGGCAAACAGAAAAAAACACAAGCUAUAUUCAUUAAAAAUGAAGAGAAAUCAUAUGAAAAUGCUAAAAAUGAAGAAAAGGCUAAGAGAUACAUCUUUGGAGAAUAUGUAGCUUCUAAUUCUUAUGUGCUAUAGCUUCUGUUGGAUCUGAGCCUGUUAGGCUGACUUAGGAGUGUCACCCAGACUGCUUACGCAUAUGCACUUGAGAAAGACUCAUGAUACUGAGAAGUGGUGAGGAUGAGGUCAAGACUAAUUGGACUCCACCAUAUCAGAUCAGACUUUUUUGUUCAUUUGGUUAUAUACAUGGGUUCAAGUCAUAUUUCUGCAAAUUACAGCCUUGUUAAGGCAAAUUUACUUGAAAGUGUCUGUACUGUAAUUUCUUCAUCAAUAAAAUGGAUCUAAUUCUUCAUAUAAUCUUUCUGGGAUCUACACUAAAUAAGAUAAUGUUGUAAGUACAUAGUAAUAUACCCAGCAUACAGUAAACUCUUAAUAAAUGUGGUCAUUCUACUUAACCAUCUGGAUUUCUUGUAUUUAAUUAUUCUCCUUGAGUAAAAUGUCAAAGACACCUUAAAAAUUAGAGUAAACUCAAAAAACAGGCCAAGCCCAGUUAACCUCUACAGAUGUUUAGUCAUGCUUCCUUACAGUGGUUUGACAAACUGUAAAGUAACUUGAAAAUAGAUCUCACUGUCCCCCUUACCCCCUCCACCAUUAAACAACAUUUAGGUUAUUGUUUUAGCACACUGUCCCUUCAUGUGGUGCUCUGAGCUUGUAAGUUGUAUGCCUCAAGGGAGUUUUAAUAACUUCUGGCUUGGUCCUCAAUUGAAUGUGGUGAAUGAUUGAAACAGAGCAUAUUACCUGCAUGAAGUAGCAUCACUUUCAUUUAAACUCCAUAGUUAGAAUGAUCUCAGUGGUAUAGUACUGCAGUGUGGGUUUGGGUUAAAUAUGCAAAGAAUAUGUGAUAAGCUCUUCAUUCAAUAGGCUCACAGUGAUGGAGGCAGUGUUCUACAAUGCAGACAUUACAAUGAGUUCUUUACCAUUCUUUGUAUUUUCUAUUGGAGCAAAUUAUUUUCCCAAUCGGUCACCCCUCUAAAAUAGUUAUGGAAAUUAGAAGGAAAAUGCACAUAUUUACUUUGCAUUCCAUCUUCCAUAACAAAUCCAGGUAAAAUAGGUCAAUAUACAUGCAGUGUGCAUUAUGUAUAUAUAAAACACUAUAUUCUAUACAUAAUAUGCUUUGCAUAUAUAAAUAAUGACAUAUUACAUUUCUAUAUACAAUAUAAUGUUAUAUAAAAUAUUUCAAAGAUCAUGCAGUAACUGUGGCAGAGGUGAUAAUGCUCACCAUGUGGUCCAUUUGCUCUCCUUCUAGCCUACUUUUGGCCAGUGGACUCUGGUCAAAAAUGAUACUUUCUACUUUUAGACCCAAUCACAGAAGAGCAGAUGUGAUUUCUCUAUGCUUCUCUCUUCUUUUGCACUCACGAAUGAGGAGUGAUAUAGCUACAAGAUGGUCGAGCAUCCACCAGCUGGACCCCAGAAGUAGAGUCCUGUUUCCUACCCCACCCCUUUGCUGACUCACAAAGGACAGAUAACACAAGCGUUGAAACUUUGCUGUGUUAAGCCACUGGGAUGCUUCGGUUAAUAUGUUAUCACAUUAAAACCUAUCCUACCCUGGUUUAUAGAGGAAAUCUUCCUUGGAAUUCUCUAAACCAAAUCUCAACCAGAACUUUAAUCUCAGAGUCAAGAGUAGCAGGCUUGGAGUUCCCGUCGUGGCGCAGUGGUUAAUGAAUUCGACUAGGAACCAUGAGGUUGCGGGUUCGAUCCCUGCCCUUGCUCAGUGGGUUAACGAUCCGGCGUUGCAGUGAGCUGUGGUGUAAGUUGCAGAUGCGGCUCGGAUCCUGCGUUGCUGUGGCUCUGGCAUAGGCUGGUGGCUACAGCUCCGAUUCAACCCCUAGCCUGGGAACCUCCAUAUGCCAUGGGAGCGGCCCAAGAUAU